rnacentral:rRNA from 1 species
UUUGAGAGGAGCUGUCCUUAGUACGAGAGGACCGGGAUGGACGCACCGCUGGUGUACCAGUUGUCUUGCCAAAGGCAUCGCUGGGUAGCUAUGUGCGGAAGGGAUAAGUGCUGAAAGCAUCUAAGCAUGAAGCCCCCCUCGAGAUGAGAUUUCCCAUCACGUAUGUGAGUAAGAUCCCUAGAAGAUGACUAGGUAGAUAGGUCAGAGAUGGAAGCAUGGCGACAUGUGGAGUUGACUGAUACUAAUCGAUCGAGGACUUAACCAYAA